CGCGUAGGUGGCAUGGUUAGCGUGCGGUGAAAGCCCGGGGCUCAACUCCGGGUCGGCCGUGCGAACUGCCAUGCUGGAGCACGGUAGAGGCCAAUGGAAUUCCGGGUGUAGCGGUGGAAUGCGUAGAGAUCCGGAAGAACACCGGUGGCGAAGGCGGUUGGCUGGGCCGUUGCUGACACUGAUGCGCGACAGCGUGGGGAGCAAACAGGAUUAGAUACCCUGGUAGUCCACGCCGUAAACGAUGGGCACUAGGUGCUUGGGGGAGCGACCCCUUGAGUGCCGGCGCUAACGCAUGAAGUGCCCCGCCUGGGGAGUACGGCCGCAAGGCUGAA
rnacentral:rRNA from 1 species